AAAACCUGGAGAGAAAUUGUUUCAGGAUUAUGAAAUAUCAUAUCCUCAAGGGGUGAAAUUAUCCUGAUAACCCUUCGACAAAUGAUACUCAGGUACAUUUUUAGCACUAUAAGAUAUUUUGAGUUACCUAUGUUGU